rnacentral:rRNA from 1 species
AACGAACGCUGGCGGCAUGCCUAACACAUGCAGGUCGAACGAGAAAGUUUCCUUCGGGAAAUUAGUAAAGUGGCGCAAGGGUGAGUAUCACGUGAAUAAUCUGCCCUCGAGAUCGGGAUAACAUGGUGAAAACUAUGCUAAUACCGGAUAAGACCACAUUUCAUAAGAAAUGCGGUAAAAGGAGUCUCAAUCUUCACUCGAGGAUGAGUUCGCGCAACAUUAGCUUGUUGGUGAGAUAAAAGCUCACCAAGGCUACGAUGUUUAGCCGGCCUGAGAGGGUGAUCGGCCACACUGGAACUGAGACACGGUCCAGACUCCUACGGGAGGGCAGCAGUGGGGAAUCUUGCACAAUGGGGGGAAACCCUGAUGCAGCGAUGCCGCGUGAGUGAAG